AGAUUGAACGCUGGCGGCAUGCUUUACACAUGCAAGUCGAACGGUAACAGGCCGCAAGGUGCUGACGAGUGGCGAACGGGUGAGUAAUGCAUCGGAACGUGCCCAGUCGUGGGGGAUAACGCAGCGAAAGCUGUGCUAAUACCGCAUACGAUCUAUGGAUGAAAGCGGGGGACCGAAAGGCCUCGCGCGAUUGGAGCGGCCGAUGUCAGAUUAGCUAGUUGGUGGGGUAAAGGCCCACCAAGGCGACGAUCUGUAGCUGGUCUGAGAGGACGACCAGCCACACUGGAACUGAGACACGGUCCAGACUCCUACGGGAGGCAGCAGUGGGGAAUUUUGGACAAUGGGCGCAAGCCUGAUCCAGCAAUGCCGCGUGCAGGAAGAAGGCCUUGGUUGUAACUGCUUUUGUACGGAACGAAAGUCUCUUCUAAUAAAGAGGAUC
rnacentral:rRNA from 1 species